rnacentral:rRNA from 1 species
CCCACAAGGAGGGGUGGUUGUGGGCACGACGUGGUUUUUUGGGGCCCGACGCCUUUUGUGUUUGGCCUGGCGCGCUUUUCUCCCCCUUCUUCUUCUCCUCAUCCUCAUCUUUUCCCUGGUUUCCCACGUGUGUUGGGAGAGUGGAGGAGGAAGUGUGUGUGUUUAGAGGAAGAAGGCGCAGAAGGGGAAAUAUCGUCAGUGCUUGCUACGUACGCAGGUGUGUUGGUCACGGCUCUCACA